CAAGCCUGAACGAGCAAUGCCGNGUGAACGAGGAAGGUCUUCGGAUCGUAAAGUUCUGUUGAGAGGGAAAAAGGGUCACCAGAGGAAAUGCUGGUGAAGUGAUAUUACCUUUCGAGGAAGUCACGGCUAACUACGUGCC
rnacentral:rRNA from 1 species